UGAGUUGGCCGGGUGACCGCAGUGUUGCUUGCAGCAUUGAGGAAGGUCGGGGCUCCAUAGGGCAACGGUGCUGGCUAACGGCCAGUCGAGGUGACUCGCAGGACAGUGCCACAGAAAUCAGACCGCCGAUGGCUCAGCUUCUUGCUGGAAGAUGAACACAGGUAAGGGUGAAACGGUGCGGUAAGAGCGCACCAGCAUUCCGGGUGACCGGAGUGGCUAGGUAAACCCCACUGGGAGCAAACUCAGAAGCGAGGUAGUGGCGGCCCGCCCGCAACGCAAGUUGCGCCUCCAGGUAGAGCGCUUAGAUGGAUGGUCACACAAGGAGUUUCGACUCCUGGACAGAACCCCGCCUAUAGGCCGACUCACCGU
rnacentral:RNase_P_RNA from 1 species